rnacentral:rRNA from 1 species
GACGAACGCUGGCGGCGUGCUUAACACAUGCAAGUCGAACGAUGAACCGGGUGCUUGCACUUGGGGAUUAGUGGCGAACGGGUGAGUAACACGUGAGUAACCUGCCCUGGACUCUGGGAUAACCCCGAGAACUCGGAGCUAAUACCGGAUAGGACCUUUCCUCGCAUGAGGGUUGGUGGAAUGUUGUUCGGUCUGGGAUGGACUCGCGGCCUAUCAGCUUGUUGGUGAGGUAAUGGCUCACCAAGGCGUCGACGGGUAGCCGGCCUGAGAGGGUGACCGGCCACACUGGGACUGAGACACGGCCCAGACUCCUACGGGAGGCAGCAGUGGGGAAUAUUGCACAAUGGGCGCAAGCCCGAUGCAGCAACGCCGCGUGCGGGAUGACGGCCUUCGGGUUGUAAACCGCUUUUAGUAGGGAAGAAGGGCUUCGGCUUGACGGUACCUGCAGAAAAAGGACCGGCUAACUACGUGCCAGCCGCCGCAGUAAAAC